AUACUUACCUGGCAGGGGAGAUACCAUGAUCACAAAGAUGGUUUCCCAGAGCAAGGCUCAUCCAUUGCACCCAGAUGUACUGACCCCUGCGAGUUCCCCAAGGGGGGUGGGGGUGGGGGUAAUUGGUUCACUUGUUAUACCAUUUAUUAUUAAAAAC
ensembl:snRNA U1 U1 spliceosomal RNA